GAUGAAGAACGUAGCGAAAUGCGAUAAGUAAUGUGAAUUGCAGAAUUCAGUGAAUCAUCGAAUCUUUGAACGCACAUUGCGCCCGCUGGAACUCCGGCGGGCACGCCUGUCCGAGCGUCAUUUCAACCCUCAGGCCCCCCUUCGCGGGCGGGCCUGGUGUUGGGGCCCGGCCGCUACCCUGCGGCCGUCCCCUAAAUUCAGUGGCGGCCUCGCCGUGAUCCCUUGCGUAGUAAUGCACCUCGCACCGGAGAGCGCCGUGGCCACGCCGUAAAACCCCCAAUUUUCAAUGGUUGACCUCGGAUCAGGUGGGAAUACCCGCUGAACUUAAGCAUAUCAAUAAGCGGAGGA
rnacentral:misc_RNA from 1 species